rnacentral:rRNA from 1 species
CAGUCGCCGCGGUAAUACGUAGGUGGCAAGCGUUGUCCGGAAUUAUUGGGCGUAAAGGGCUCGCAGGCGGUUUCUUAAGUCUGAUGUGAAAGCCCCCGGCUCAACCGGUGAGGGUCAUUGGAAACUGGGAAACUUGAGUGCAGAAGAGGAGAGUGGAAUUCCACGUGUAGCGGUGAAAUGCGUAGAGAUGUGGAGGAACACCAGUGGCGAAGGCGACUCUCUGGUCUGUAACUGACGCUGAGGAGCGAAAGCGUGGGGAGCGAACAGGAUUAGAUACCCGCGUAGUCCCUGUCUCUUAUAC